rnacentral:rRNA from 1 species
AUUGAACGCUGGCGGCAGGCUUAACACAUGCAAGUCGAGCGAGCGGCGGAGGGGUGAGUAAUGUCUGGGACACUGCCUGAUGGAGGGGGUUAACUACGGGAAACGGUAGCUAAUACCGCAUACCAUCAGAUGUGCCCAGAUGGGAUUAGCUAGUAGGUGGGGUAAUGGCUCACCUAGGCGCCGAUCCCUAGCUGGUCUGAGAGGAUGAUCAGCCACACUGGAACUGAGACACGGUCCAGACUCCUACGGGAGGCAGCAGUGGGGAAUAUUGCACAAUGGGCGCAAGCCUGACGCAGCCAUGCCGCGUGUGUGAAGAAGGCCUUCGGGUUGUAAAGCACUGUCAGUGAGGAGGCGGUACUCGAAGAAGAAGCACCGGCUAACUCCGUGCCAGCAGCCGCGGUAAUAC